rnacentral:lncRNA from 1 species
CCUGCUUUUUUCAGAAUUGCAUCAGUUCAAAUAUUAUUAUUCUGACAGGUACGUCUUCCAAAUGCAGAUUAUUAAAUGUGCAAUCAAUGUGUGCAAAAUUGGGGGAGAAUGUUUGUAGAGCACUGCCAGGAUUUCACGCCUUUACUGGUUGUGAUUCAGUUAGUGCUUUGUCUGGUAAAGGAAAAAGCAAAGCAUUCGGUGUUUUGACACGUUCUGUGGAGUUUUCAGAAGGUCUAUCCCGUCUUGGUGAAACUUUUGAAGAGGUAGGCGAAGAACGGUCAAAAACACUCGAGAGGUUUUUGUGUGCUA